rnacentral:rRNA from 1 species
UGGGGAAUCUUGCACAAUGGGCGAAAGCCUGAUGCAGCAACGCCGCGUGCGGGAAGACAGCCCUAGGGUUGUAAACCGCUUUCAGCAGGGAAGAAACUGACGGUACCUGCAGAAGAAGAUGCGGCCAACUACGUGCCAGCAGCCGCGGUGACACGUAGGCAUCAAGCGUUAUCCGGAUUUAUUGGGCGUAAAGAGCUCGUAGGCGGUUCGGUAAGUCGGGUGUGAAAACUCUGGGCUCAACCCAGAGAGGCCACUCGAUACUGUUGUGACUAGAGUGCGGUAGGGGAGCGGGGAAUUCCUGGUGUAGCGGUGAAAUGCGCAGAUAUCAGGAGGAACACCAGUGGCGAAGGCGCCGCUCUGGGCCGUAACUGACGCUGAGGAGCGAAAGCAUGGGUAGCAAACAGGAUUAGAUACCCUGGUAGUCCAUGCCGUAAACGUUGGGCACUAGGUGUGGGUCUCAACCAACGAGAUCCGCGCCGUCGCUAACGCA